rnacentral:rRNA from 1 species
GACGUAGGGCGCGAGCGUUGUCCGGAUUUAUUGGGCGUAAAGAGCUCGUAGGCGGCUUGUUGCGUCGACUGUGAAAACCUGCGGCUCAACCGUGUGGUCUGCAGUCGAUACGGGCAGGCUGGAGUACGGUAGGGGCAGAGGGAAUUUCCGGUGGAGCGGUGAAAUGCGUAGAGAUCGGAAAGAACACCAACGGCGAAAGCACUCUGCUGGGCCGACACUGACACUGAGAGACGAAAGCUAGGGGAGCGAAUGGG